rnacentral:rRNA from 1 species
GUUUGAUCCUGGCUCAGAGCGAACGUUAGCGGCAGGCUUAACACAUGCAAGUCGAGCGAGAAAGGGGCUUCGGCUCCGAGUAAAGCGGCGGACGGGUGCGUAACACGUGGAUAAUCUGCCUCGUGGCGGGGGACAACAGUCCGAAAGGACUGCUAAUACCGCAUGUCAGGUCGGAAACUCCGGUUUCUGACGAAAAAGAGGGCGUCCGCAAGGAGCUCUCACCACGAGAUGAGUCCGCGUCCCAUCAGCUAGUUGGCGGUGUAAUGGACCACCAAGGCUUAGACGGGUAGCUGGUCUGAGAGGAUGACCAGCCACACUGGGACUGAGACACGGCCCAGACUCCUACGGGAGGCAGCAGUGGGGAAUAUUGGACAAUGGCGAAGCUGAUCCAGCCAUGCCGCGUGAGUGAUGAAGGCCUCGGUC